ensembl:lncRNA
AUGGUUCUGAAAUGUACUGAUGUCAUUUCCUCUGUGUCUUUUGCAGGUAAUAAUGGCAGUAUUAACUCCAUCUCUGACCGAGGGACACAGCUGCCUGGUCACCGGGAGACAGACAAGUUUGGACAGAACAGGGACACUGUGUACUUCAAGGAUGGUGUUCGGCACAUCGAUUUUGUCCUGUCCUAUGUUGACGACAAGGAUGGAGACAAGAAAGCGGAGAGAAGAAGAGAGUUUGAAGCCAACCUGGAAAAGGCUGGUCUUGAGCUGGAGGCUGAAGAUAAAUCGGAGUCAGGUGACCGUAAGACGUAUUAUCUGAAGAUUCACGCUCCGUGGGAAGUGUUGGCCACCUAUGCUGAUGUGCUAAAGAUUAAAGUGCCCUUUAAAGCGAGUGAUAUUCCCAAAGCUCAAGAAGUUCAUCUGGAGUGGCUCACUCAACCUUUCCGGCUGCCAGACAACAUCAUGAUGCCAGAGCCGGACUACUUCACUGCACCUUUUGAUAAGAGCAAGGUUGACUUCUUCCUCAUUGAUGAUAAGGACACAUUUUUUCCUCCCUCCACUCGCAACAGGAUCGUGUACUACAUCCUGACCCGCUGCCCUUACUACAAGGAAGACUGUAAAGAGGAAGAUAAGACGGGAAUUAAACGUCUGCUGAACAACGGCACCUACACUUCAGCUUAUCCCCUUCAUGAUUGUAAGUACUGGAAGAAAGCAGAAGACAUGCAGUGUGACAGUGAGAGGUAUCAUCUGUAUAGAUACUGGGCUCGAUUCCUCUGCUUCUACAAGAAGCAACCACUCAAUCUGAUCAAGAAGUACUAUGGUGAGAAGAUUGGUAUCUACUUUGCCUGGCUGGGCUUUUACACAGAAAUGCUGUUUUUUGCUGCAGUCAUGGGUGUGAUUUGUUUUGUUUAUGGUGUGCUUAGUUACGAAGACAACAUCACAAGCAAGGAGAUCUGUGACCCAGAAAUCGGUGGGAUGAUUGUCAUGUGUCCACUCUGUGAUAAAAAGUGCAGCUACUGGAAACUCAACUCAACGUGUCUGUCCUCCUGGCAAUCCCAUCUAUUUGAUAAUGAGGGGACUGUCUUCUUUGCCAUGUUCAUGGGUAUUUGGGUGACUCUGUUCCUGGAGUUCUGGAAGCGGCGGCAGGCCCGUCUGGAGUAUGAGUGGGACCUUGUGGACUUUGAGGAGGAACAGCAGCAGCUACAGAUCAGACCAGAGUAUGAGUUGAAAUGCACAGGCCGUAGAUUCAACCGCAUCACGCAGGUACCUUCCUUCCCUCUCUUUGUGUUUUGUCAGACGUGUCUGAUAGUGGCCUGUAUAAUAGGAGUGAUCGCUUACAGAUUGGCAGUUUAUGCAGCGUUUGCCAGUGUCAUGAAGGACAGCCCCACCAGUAAGAUCCAGCUGGUGGGAUCUCUCAUCACCCCUCAACUUGCCACCUCUGUCACUGCUUCCUGCAUUAACUUUGUCAUUAUCCUCAUCCUCAACUUCCUCUAUGAGCAUGUGGCCAUUUGGAUCACUGAUAUGGAGAUCCCCAAGACCCAUCUGGAGUAUGAGAAUAAGCUGACCAUGAAGAUGUUUAUGUUCCAGUUUGUGAACUACUACUCUUCCUGUUUCUAUGUGGCCUUCUUUAAAGGGAAGUUUGUGGGUUAUCCGGGAAACUACAGUUAUAUGUUUGGAAAGUGGAGCAUGCUGAGAAAUGAAGAGUGUGCCCCGGGGGGCUGUCUGAUUGAGCUGACCACACAGCUGCUUAUCGUCAUGGCUGGAAAACAAAUGGUUGGGAACGCUCAAGAGGCUCUGUUGCCUCUUCUCAGAAACUGGUGGGGCAGCAGGAAAGGGCGAAGUCAUCCAAAGAGUACAUACAGUAGAUGGGAGCAGGACCACGAUCUGCAGAACUUCAGCCAGUAUGGCCUCUUCUAUGAGUAUCUGGAAAUGGUGAUCCAGUUUGGCUUCAUAACACUUUUCGUGGCCUCUUUUCCACUGGCCCCUCUUCUUGCCCUCUUCAACAACAUCCUGGAGGUGCGAGUCGAUGCUUGGAAGUUGACUACACAGUUCAGAAGGCCAGUGGCAGCGAAGGCGCGCAACAUUGGAGCAUGGAAAGAGAUCCUUAAUGUGGUGGCCAUCUUGUCCGUGGUCACAAAUGCUUUCAUCGUGGCAUUUACCUCAGAUAUGAUUCCUCGCCUGGUCUAUCUGUACGCCUACCACCCAGGCAACAAGGCCACUAUGAGAGGUUACAUCACCAACAGCCUCUCCUUUUACAACAUCUCUCAGAUCCCUGAAGAUAACCUACCUGAACAUGGAGAAAACCCAUCCUGGUUUAACAGCUCUACCAUCACAACAUGCAGGUAUCGGGACUACAGAUACCCACCUGGGCAUGAAAAGCAAUACACACACACAAUGCAGUUCUGGCAUAUCUUGGCUGCUAAGCUAGCCUUCAUCGUCAUUAUGGAACAUGUUGUAUUUGUGGUGAAAUUCUUUGUGGCGUGGCUGAUUCCAGAUGUGCCGGUAGGGAUAAAGUCACAUAUAAAGCGUGAACGCUUUCUGGUUCAGGAAUACCUGCACAACUACGAAGUGGAGAAACUCAAGCUGCAGCUGAGCCAGAGUUGCAGCCUGGCCACAGAAACGGCCCCACUGCUGCCCUCUAGUCCGAGUAAACACCGGGUGCUUUCUGAAUGUAUUUGAAUAUCCCUGAAUCCUCAGGACUACUCUAAUAUACUAUACACCACAAAGCAUGGAGGAAUCUUCGGGACCCCUUCAUACAUUUACUGCAAAAAACUGUCUGCCCUCAUCCAAACAACUGCCAGAACUUUUAUAAAAAACUACACGCCUAACAGUCUUUUUUCCUGCUUGAGUUUUAUGGGAAAACAUUACCGCUUUUCUCUGUGUUUUUUCUCAAAUGUCUGGAGUGCACUUGCAGAACUGUACUUCUACAGUGGCGAAAGGCUUGGAGACCGAUCACAAAACAUUUCUGCAGCAAACCCUCUUGAAUGCGGCCUGCUGCUCCUUGAGUAUGCUGCUGGGAAUUCAACUUAUGAAUAAUCAUUUAUGACCAAUUAAAAGACUGAAAAUGUUUUACAAGGCAGUAAGCUUUUAUAUCCGUCCAGCUUGUUGCCAUUAUAUAUAUAUAUAUAUAUAAUUUCUUUUUUUCUUUUUUUUUCUUUUUUUUGAAGUAAUCUGCAUGUUUUACUUUGUCUGACUGUGAAAGAGGUACAUGUAGACAGUGAAUUGUCUUUUUUGUCUAUUUUUUGUUUUUCUUUUCUUUAGAUAUGUAAGAUUUCCUUUAGGCGUGUGAGGUUUAACAGUUAAUAUAUGUUGUUGUCCAGUGGAUUUUACCACUGUGGAUAUUUUCUUUAUGAAACACACUAAUAGCUGAAUAACUAUCAAAGAAUAUCAUAAUUUCUGUAGUGCUUGCAUUAUCUUGUUUCACAUAAUAUUUAUAUUUUAUUAUUGUUAUUUUUGAUUAAUGCUGCAUCUUGCCACACACACAUUUUGGUCUGUGUAAUAUUAAAUGUAAGGGUUUUUUUGUUUGUUUGUUUUUUUUUUUUUAAUUAUUAUGACUGUUGUUAAUUUUCUUCAAGGGUGUAUUUGUUUCACUACAAUCAUAACCAAUUGAUUGUCUGGUUGGAAGGUUUUUUUUUUUUUUUUUUAAAUCAGAUUAAGCUCUAUACUGACUUGCUGUGUUUUCUGAUACUUCAAAAAUCAGAAACUUAAGCCAUUAUUCAUCACCUCAUUCUGUAAGAGUCUGUCAAAGUUUGCACAUAUCGCAUAUCUCUCAUCUGUAACUGUGACUAGGAGAACACUAGUCUUGUACUGUUUCUCUGUAACUAAUUUCGGCAAAUAUGCUCUGAACAGGAUUAGUUUGCAUUUUUGUGAUCAGUUCUCCAUGCAUCUGAGACUUUGAUCUACACCCUGAUAACUUAAUUGUAUAUUACAGUAGUUCUGGGACAAAUUAAUUGAGUGAAGCAGGCUUUCAGAGAUUCCCAUACAUGUCAAGACAAGAAAUUGCCUCUAAUAGUGUAUACAUGAAAAAGGACAAAAAAUAACGUCACAGUUUUGAAACAAGUGAAUAGAAGGAAUCCAGUAUCCUCUGCCCUAUUACUAAUCAGGUGCAAAGAGAUUUGUUUCUAAACUUUGAAGUGUGUCACAUCAGUAUUUCAGAUGUUUGAUUCAAACAUUGUGUAGCACUGUUGAUGAACACUGUUCACUCAGCGCCAACCAUCCCAUAGGGACAUCACUUGUUUGAGAGCAAACAAAUGUGUUAAAAUUAUGUCCCAAGGGUUUGUCUGUUUUUAAGGUGUCUUACAAUUUAACUACACAUUUUGUGAGCCAUACCUGUUCAUUAAAACUUCUUUUUUUAUAUCUGUUUAUUUCAUUUCACAAAUGUUAUAAAUCCUCUAUAUUUAUUUUUAGCCUGUUGAGUUAUUUUUGCAGUAAUUAAUCGAUAUUUUAUGGAUAAUACAUAUACAGUUUACAGAAAUGUUCUGAAUAUUGUUACUAUACUUGUAAACAAAGUUUUAUCCUAAACAAAAUGCAUAAUAUAUAUGUACCCGAAGUUAAACGUGACAAUCGUAUCAUUAUAAAAAAUAUAUAUAUAUAUAUAUAUAUUUUAAAAAGUUAUUCACUUAGUUAAGGAUAUAUUUGUGUUCAGAUGAGAGCAUGCCACACAUGCAUUUGCCUUAAUAAAAUUUGUCAUGAU